CGCCGCCGCCGCCGCCUCGCCGCCGGCCUCCGCCCGGCCCGGGGAACCGGAGCUCCGGCCCGCCGCGGGCUCCCCCUGCCCCGGCCGCGCUUCACAGCGCGGCACCUCGGCGUUGGGGCUUAGCGUCAGCCCGUCUACCGAGACCUCGAGCCGGUCCGAGCUCAGCACCGCCGCCAUCCUCCGCCUCCCUCCCGCCCUCCGCCUCCUGCUCCGCUGCGGCGGCCACGUCCCGACUUCCCGUUCCCUCCGACCCGGAACUUCCGUUCCUGCCCCCGCCCCCUUCCCAACGGCCGCCCCGGGGGCGUGGCCGGCGGAGGCAGUCCCGUGGGAUGGAGGCGUCCCGUCCGGUCCCCUGCCGUGCCGUGCCCCACGGGGCUUCGGUUACGGAGGGCUUACACCCGCCUCUGGCAGCCCGCCCUGCCCCCGGGCCGGGGGCUGAAGACGGACUCGCCCCCACCCCUGCUUUCCCCAGGAACGCUGGGGCUGCCCGCGCCCUCCCCCGCCGCAGCCCUCGGAUGCACCCCAGGGCAUGGGGGUUACCUUUUCCCCUGGGGGAACUGCCGCUCUACGCCCUUACGUGCUUUUUGGUUACUUCAUAGAACGGAGUAAUGAUUUUUCAACAGCUUUAUCUGUUCACGGCUUUAGUCACGGAGUAGAAGCCUUUUGCUGUAGCUCGAAGGUAGCGCAGGGUCUGCACGGACUGAGAACAAGUCUGAUGAGGAGCCGCUGUGGGAACUGAGGUUGUUUAGUCUGGAGAGGAGGACACCGAGGGGAGACCUUUUGUUGUAGUGAGGACCUUUGGUUGUCGUGAGAACAAGGGUACAUCAUCCUCUUUUGACUGUUGGGAGUUCUCCAGGGCACACACAGUUCUCCAUACUAUUCGGUGCUAUCUCAUGGACCAGACUAACACCAGAACAGAUUAUUUUAUCUCCUCAUACAAGCCUGCACCCUGCUUUACAAGUCUGUCACUUCAGCAUCAGAUCCAACUUCACUUUCAGAUUUGUUAGUUCAUUUAUAAAAUCACUUGUGUUAAAACAUCUGUUUUAAAAGUUUUGAUCUGACACAUCUCCUGCAUGGCUUGAGGAGUUUGUGCUUCAUAAAUAUUUUCUUACGGCAUCAAUUCUACAGUUUAAUCCAUAGUGAGAUUAAAGUUCUUGCUUUAAGAAACUCUAAAUUCUUUAUCCUAAAAUGCAUCCUGAGAGUAAAAGAAACUGAAGCUCUGA